rnacentral:RNase_P_RNA from 1 species
AAGGGAAGGUAAUCAAGCUUUAAAUUAUUUUAAGGUUAGGAAAGUCCAUGCUAGCACAACCUGAAAUGGUUGUAGUGUUUGUGUCUAGGGAAAAAAUAACCUAGAGUACCAAUUAUGGUAACGGCGGCUCUUAAGCUUAACUGCUUAAUCCCUAAGGUGCCACAGAGACGAAUUAUAAGGAAACUUAUAAGUGAAACGCGGUAAACCCCACAAGCUAGAAACCCAAAUUAUGGUAGGGGCACUUUAAAGAAAGAAUAACAAUUUACUUUAAAGCUACGCAAGUAGAGAUAAAUGGUUACACACUAUUAGUAGUGAACAGAACAUGGCUUAUGCAC